rnacentral:rRNA from 1 species
AUUGAACGCUGGCGGCAUGCCUUACACAUGCAAGUCGAACGGCAGCGUGGACUUCGGUCUGGCGGCGAGUGGCGAACGGGUGAGUAAUACAUCGGAACGUACCCUGUUGUGGGGGAUAACUAGUCGAAAGAUUAGCUAAUACCGCAUACGACCUGAGGGUGAAAGUGGGGGACCGCAAGGCCUCACGCAGCAGGAGCGGCCGAUGUCUGAUUAGCUAGUUGGUGGGGUAAAGGCCCACCAAGGCGACGAUCAGUAGCUGGUCUGAGAGGACGAUCAGCCACACUGGGACUGAGACACGGCCCAGACUCCUACGGGAGGCAGCAGUGGGGAAUUUUGGACAAUGGGGGCAACCCUGAUCCAGCAAUGCCGCGUGUGUGAAGAAGGCCUUCGGGUUGUAAAGCACUUUUGUCCGGAAAGAAAUCGCGCUGGUUAAUACCUGGCGUGGAUGACGGUACCGGAAGAAUAAGCACCGGCUAACUACGUG